rnacentral:rRNA from 1 species
UACGUAGGGGGCAAGCGUUAUCCGGAUUUACUGGGUGUAAAGGGAGCGUAGACGGCGAUGCAAGUCUGAAGUGAAAGGCGGGGGCCCAACCCCCGGACUGCUUUGGAAACUGUAUAGCUGGAGUGCAGGAGAGGUAAGUGGAAUUCCUAGUGCAGCGGUGAAAUGCGUAGAUAUUAGGAGGAACACCAGUGGCGAAGGCGGCUUACUGGACUGUAACUGACGUUGAGGCUCGAAAGCGUGGGGAGCAAACAGG